CACGUAGGGGGCAAGCGUUUGUCCGGAUUUAUUGGGCGUAAAGAGCUCGUAGGCGGCUUAGUAAGUCGGGUGUGAAACCUCCAGGCUCAACCUGGAGACGCCACCCGAUACUGCUGUGGCUAGAGUCCGGUAGGGGAGCGUGGAAUUCCUGGUGUAGCGGUGAAAUGCGCAGAUAUCAGGAGGAACACCAGCGGCGAAGGCGGCGCUCUGGGCCGGUACUGACGCUGAGGAGCGAAAGCGUGGGGAGCGAACAGG
rnacentral:rRNA from 1 species